UCAAUAAUUGUCUAACCAUGAGAUGUCGACCGAGUUUGGAGGCCCCUGUCUUAGCACAGUGAAAGUAUUUGAAGCUUUGUUUAUGAACAUGGCGGUGUGGUCAUACAAUGACUUUAAACCGGACACUACUCUGAGCUGUUCACAUUAUACAAAUGCUCCAGAUAUGUAAUCAGGUCCUCCCUUUUGGAAUGGUAAACAUGACACUAUUCAUCACUCACACAAAUAAAUCAUUUAAUAUUUUGAUAAUUGAAUUGGUUUUUGUGGUUCAAUUUUUUUUUUUUUGUAACACAUUGCACUUCAUGUGUUUACAGAUUUGUGCAGAAUUUGAGACAUACAGAAUUACCAUAGGCCCAUUAGAAUCAACAAUCUUUGCCAAACUUGUUCCGGACUGCAAAACUUACGAAGAUGUUUGCAUACUGAAGAAGAGUCCUUGGUUAAAUAAUGAAACCCUCUUGGUGCCCACUACACAGGCAGGGGUGUCCAGACCUGAUCUAAGAAAGCCAGUGUUCUGUGGAGUUCAGCUCUAACAUACUUGCCUGGAACUUCAGAAGAAAAAAACAACAAAGUUUAAAUUUUGUUGUUUUCAUCUUCAGACUAAUGAAAUUAAAGUAUCCAAUGAAGACCCUAGCAGUAUGGAGUAUAUGGAUACAGAGGUUGCCAGCAAUCAGGAGGUGAUCCAGAAGACUUGUGGGAAUCUAUUUGAAGCUGCAUCAUUGAAGACAGUCCAGCAGAAGUUGGAGUUUUAAAGGAUACAGUUCUUCAGGACCUAUAGCAGUUUAUAGUCUGCAAAACCAUGUUGCUGGGACUGAUAUAUGGACUGAACUUGAGCUACCCUCCUGAACUCAUUUGGAAUACUGAAGAAGUUAUUUCCAGUUAUUUCCAGUUCCUGUUCCUGGAAUAAGGUUUGAUUGGUUGCCCAUGAAUGCCAAUUAGAAUUUUAUUUGCUAUUUUGUGUAAUUUUGUAAUGUGGUUUAAACUGUAUUUUACUGUGUGUAAUUAUUUAUUGCUUGUUUAACAAAUACACUUUGAUCAUUUGUGA